GACAGAGGGUGCAAACGUUGUUCGGAAUUACUGGGCGUAAAGCGCGUGUAGGCUGCUCGGAAAGUCGGAUGUGAAAGCCCUAGGCUCAACCUAGGAAGUGCAUUCGAAACUUCUGAGCUUGAGUAUCGGAGAGGGUCGCGGAAUUCUCGGUGUAGAGGUGAAAUUCGUAGAUAUCGAGAGGAACACCGGUGGCGAAGGCGGCGACCUGGACGAUUACUGACGCUGAGACGCGAAAGCGUGGGGAGCAAACAGG
rnacentral:rRNA from 1 species